rnacentral:lncRNA from 1 species
UCCUCGCGCCCGCAACCUGCACACCUCGCCGGAGCACCAAACCAGCAACAGUUCCCGUGCUUGCAGCCCAAUCCAUUCCGCGGUGCCCGAGCACCACCUCUUGGAGCUCGACCUCUCGCGCUCACCUCGCCGUCCUCGCACGCCUGCAUGCUGGCAUCCUCCUGUCCUGCUCAAGCAGACCUCUCGCCGUGGUGAGGUGAGCCAGACCGUCUGCCCUUUGGUCGACCCCUCCUUCCAUCUGCUUCUCUCUCAAUAUCUCUCUCUGUCUCACUGUUCCCGCGGCACGAAGGAGAUGGCCAUGGCUACCCCAUGAAGCUUCUCUGGCGGUCGCCUUCGGCCCGCCUCCGGCCAGGUCCGACGACCAUGAGCACCAUUCCCCCUCCAAUCUCGCAGCUAGGCCGGUUUCCCGUGACUUCUCCUUUUCCCAUUUUUUAUCUCUCUGAUGGCCUCCCUCUCUCUUCUGUUCGCCUACAGGAGUCGCCAUGGACUGAUGGACAUCACUGGAAGCAACUGCCGCCGUCGCUGGUCGCCUCCACCCUGUACCG